rnacentral:rRNA from 1 species
AUGGGGGGCAUGGAGUGCGACGAGGGACCGGCGAUCGGCAUCGACCUCGGGACGACCUACUCCUGCGUGGCCGUGUGGCGGCAGUCGCACAACCGAGUGGAGAUUAUCCCCAACGACCAGGGCAACCUCACCAUGCCCUCCUGCGUUGGCUUCACCGAGGCUUGGAGGCUCAUCGGCGACGCGGCUAUGAACCAGGCCGCCAUGAACCCCGUCAACACCGUCUUUGGUAAGGACCGUACCACAGACAUCUUCCGCUAA